rnacentral:rRNA from 1 species
GACGAACGCUGGCGGCGUGCUUAACACAUGCAAGUCGAACGGAAAGGCCCUGCUUUUGUUGGGUGCUCGAGUGGCGAACGGGUGAGUAUCACGUGAGUAUCCUCCCCUUGACUUUGUGAUAACUUCAGGGAACUGGGGCUCAUACCGGAUAUAAUCUCCUGCUGCAUGUUGGUGGUUGGAAAGUUUCGGCGGUUGUGGAUGGACUCGCGGCUUAUCAGCUUGUUGGUGUGGUAGUGGCUUACCAAGGCUGUGACGGGUAGCCGGCCUGAGAGGGUUACCGGGGACAAUGGGACUGAGAGACGGACCAGAAGCCUACGGGAGGCAGUAGGGGGGAAUAUGACACAACGGGGGGAAGCCUGAGGCAGCAACGCCGGGAGCGGGAUGACGGCCUUCGGGGUGUAAACAGAUGUCGCAGGUGACGAAGAGUGAGUGACGGUAAUGGGUAAAGAAGCAACGGCUAACUACGUG